GGGUAGGUAAGCCCAGUGGGUAGAGCUUAGGGCUUGCGACCGGAAGGUCCUGGGUUCGAAUCUCGCCAGAGGCA
rnacentral:tRNA from 1 species